GCCCGGAUGGCGGAAUUGGUAGACGCACAGGACUUAAAAUCCUGCGACAGAAAUGUCGUGCCGGUUCGAUUCCGGCUCCGGGCA
rnacentral:tRNA from 1 species